UGUACGGUCCGCGGACCGGUACCGGACCCCGCCAGGGGGUCCGACCCGGCCCGUGGAAUACAUCUGCAAUAUCAAAAAAUAUUCCAAAAAAUUAUGACCUACAUUACUACUGCAUUUGUUUGAUCAGACUGCAGCUCCCACAUUGUCUGCUAGGGGCGCUCCGCCUCACUCGGAGCAGACAGCGUGACGCAGCACUUGUGGCAGACGGCGGCAAUACCGGAUCCGGGUCUGUGGCAUUUUGUCUAUUGGAAUUUUACCUGCUUUUCUGCUGCCUCUGACACGCUCAUCAGCGAGACGUCUUUGUCAACAUUUUAAAAAUGUGAUUUAGUGUCAGAGGCAGAGCCCGUAGUGAUGAGGGGAUUACUGCUGUAAGGAAGGAAGGAACAGAUGUUCAGAGGGAGCUGAUGCCACAUCUGGUCCAGCCAAUGGAAGGUCUUGAAGUUCUCUGACUGAAGAUGGCCCUCUCACUGGAUUUAAGGUUCAGAUGCUCAGGAACAAACUUCACCAAUGAGAAAACAGGGAAGCUGUAGGUUUAUUAAAUGUUGCUGUGAAGCAUGAAGACUAAUCUCUCCACAAGGAUCCAAAAUAAGUUGGACUUCUACAUGAGAGCUUUAGUUAUUCUUCAUCUACUUCCUGAAAAGUUUGGUCAAUAAAAAAGACAAAAACUGAGCUGAACUAAAGACAGACUUUGUGAUUUUUCUGCUCACAUGUGUUGUUGUAAACUUACUCUUUCAAAUAAACAGCCACCUAACCCCCUGGAAA